ACAGUUACAAUCAAAACACCCUGCAGAAAAGCCCAAACAAAACCACAAGACAAGCCCAAUCUACUCCAGCAACGCUAGCCAACCUCCGCCCCGACAGGGGGAUCGCCGCCUUGAACCGAUGCCGUCCGGCUGAAGGCUAAACAGUUACAGCAUUUCUUCUUACUGAAGCUCAGUCAAGGUCAGCCAAACUAAGCAUUCUAGGUACAAAUCGAGCACUAACCCUUUCAUCGAUAAAGCCAAGGUUAACUCAUUAACACUCAAAGGAAAGAGUAAAACAGGCCAAUGGCAAUCUCAGUCUCCGUUAGCCGACGAGGGGCCUGCGUGCUGCGAUAUCGGCGCCAGCGCCUGCUUCCACAGACCUAUGCUUCCAGCAUUGAAACGGUAGGAUCAAGCUCAUCUAUCUCGCAGAUCUCUGGAUGGCUACUCUCCCCUUUGAACCUCAAAUCUGCAACCAAAACUCGACCAACUAUCAUCUCCCUUCCUUGCCCCCAGGGAUUCUACCUCGGCUUUUUCGAGAGACGAUUUAGAAUGAAAAACACGAGAAAAUAGAGCUUGAGAACUGAAGUAACAAUUAUGGAUGACAUUAACAUACCUACAAUGACCAGAUUGUGCAGAGUUUUACAAAACUAGGGCCCAAGCCAAGUCCAUAACAGCCCAAUGUUUUUUGCACUUUUGUUAUAUUAUUUUUAUAUUUCCUGACAGAGAUACCACCGUCUCUCAAAAUUAUGCUUCCUUUGUCUGAUUGUCUCUUCUCUACCGUCCUGCCUCAAUUUUAGUGAUUGUUUUCGCCUUGGUUGUUGUGGAUGCUUAUUAUCGUAUGUAUCAUAUAUUCUGCAAGUUUCUUCUGUCUUAUCUGCAAUUUUGUAAAUUAUAUAGCUUAGUAAUUAUGAUUUCCGCUUUCCAUUCGCAAAGAAUUCUACAUUGAACCCAUCAAAUAUUUAAGUUCUCUUAUGCUGAUGAACACCCAAAAUCAUAUCAUUUGAAUCGUACUAAAUUUUGGGUAGCUGGAUCUCUGUUGUUCCUGAUGGGUACUGCUGCUCCUCAGUACCCAUAUGGAAUCACUGCACAUUUCGAUGGAAAUUUUGGUUACAAGUUGGAUACUUCAAGCUCCAAGUUUCCUUGUAAAGUGGGAUUUUUAAGACUUAACUUGUACCAAAGUUCUGCUUCCAUCACUAAUUCCAAGGGAUUUGUCAGCCGAAUAUGUUCAGUACCUGAUCUUGAUGAUAUCUUUUGGGAGAAAGUUAGUACACCCAUACUUGAUGUGGUUGAAAACCCCAUCCACUUGAAAAAUUUGACCCCUAAGGAACUGAAACAACUGGCUGAUGAAAUACGAGCAGAAUUGUCUUCUAUAAUGUCAAGGACUCACAAAUCUAUUAAGGCCAGUUUAGCAGUGGUGGAACUUACUGUUGCCGUUCAUCAUGUUUUCAACGCACCAGUGGACAAGAUACUAUGGGAUUUUGGAGAACAGACAUAUGCACACAAAAUUCUCACAGGAAGGCGAUCCCUUAUGCAUACUCUGAGACUAAAGAAUGGACUUUCUGGCUUUACAUCUCGGUCUGAGAGCGAAUAUGAUCCAUUUGGGGCAGCGCAUGGAUGCAAUAGUAUUUCUGCUGGGCUGGGGAUGGCAGUUGCACGUGAUGUGAAAGGUAAACGGGAACGUGUUGUUACAGUCAUCAGCAAUGGGACAACUAUGGCUGGUCAGGUCUAUGAAGCAAUGAGCAAUGCAGGUUAUUUGGACUCAAAUGUGAUAGUUAUUUUAAAUGACAGACGUCACUCUUUGCACCCAAAGAUUGAAGAGGGCCCUAAGACUUCGAUAAAUGCUCUAUCUAGCACCCUAAGCAAGCUGCAGUCAAAUAAAUCAUUCCGGAAAUUUAGAGAAGUUGCAAAGGGUGUUACCAAAAGGAUUGGUAUGGGUAUGCAUGAAUUAGCAGCCAAAGUUGAUGAGUAUGCACGUGGUAUGAUAGGUCCCCUAGGAUCAACUCUCUUUGAAGAGCUCGGUUUGUAUUACAUAGGCCCUGUUGAUGGACACAGCAUUGAAGACCUAGUUUGUGUUCUACAAGAAGUGGCAUCUCUGGAUUCUAUGGGACCUGUCUUGAUACAUGUAAUAACAGAAGAGAAUAGAGAACCUGAAGAUAAGCAAAAGAGUAAGGAAUUGCAGGAAGGCUCAUUUUUAUUCGAUUCUUCUCUCUAUAGUAGUCAUACUCGAACAUAUAGUGAUUGCUUUGCGGAGGCUUUGGUUAUGGAGGCAGAGAAGGACAAAGAUAUUGUGACUGUUCAUGCAGGAAUGGAAAUGGAAAAAGCUUUUCAACUGGUUCUGGAAAGAUUUCCAGACAGGUUUUUUGAUGUGGGAAUGGCUGAGCAGCAUGCAGUUACAUUUUCUGCCGGUUUAUCAUGUGGGGGCUUGAAGCCAUUUUGCAUAAUUCCUUCUGCUUUUCUACAGAGAGCAUAUGACCAGGUGAUCCAUGAUGUAGAUGUGCAGAAGAUUCCAGUUCGUUUUGUCAUUACAAGUGCAGGAUUGGUAGGGUCAGACGGUCCCACGCAGGGUGGGCCAUUUGAUAUAACAUUCAUGUCAUGCUUACCAAACAUGAUUGUUAUGGCACCAUCUGAUGAAGAUGAGCUUGUGGACAUGGUGGCCACUGCAGUUCACAUUGAUGAUCGUCCGGUCUGCUUCCGUUAUCCAAGAGGUGCCAUUAUUGGGACAGAUCAUUUUGUGCGCAGUGGAAUUCCAAUUGAGAGCAGGUUGGAAAGGGAAAAGUUCUUAUAGAGGGUAAAGAUGUUGCUUUGCUAGGGUAUGGAGCAAUGGUUCAGAACUGCCUCAAAGCUCGGCACCUUCUUUCAAAGCUUGGCAUUGAGGUAACUGUUGCUGAUGCAAGGUUCUGCAAACCUCUCGACAUAAAGCUUCUCAGACAACUAUGCGAAAACCAUCCAUUUCUGGUCACAGUUGAGGAAGGCUCUGUAGGGGGAUUUGGAUCCCAUGUUGCACAGUUCAUGGCUCUCGAUGGAAAGCUUGAUGGUAGAGUUAAAUGGCGACCUAUCGUUUUACCGGACAGCUAUAUUGAGCAUGCAUUGCCGAAGGAGCAGCUUAACCUUGCUGGACUGACUGGACAUCACAUUGCUGCAACAGUGCUAAAAUUGCUUGGCCGCACCCGCGAAGCUCUCCUUUUAAUGAGCUAGAAAUCUGUAUUUUCUCUGCUAUUUUUCUUCAAGAUGUUGAGCCUACAGUGCUGCACAGAUUUGUGUUGGUAAUUAGUUAACAGAUUAACAUUAUAUCAGGCUUGUAAUGAUUGAACAGGACUGAAAAUAUUGCGAAAAUUGAUCUUUUUGUGCUC